CAUUAUUAUUAUUAUUUCUCUCAUUUUUUGGCCGUGAUCAAGAUAAAGUCAGCAACCAAAGAAACUUAUUAUUUUCAUUAUCAUAAUCAUUAACAAAACGCAAAAAAAAUAUUUCUCUCACUCAUUCGCACUGAUUUUUAAUUCCAUAAUUGCAAUCGAUUUUCAUCAUCAAAUUUUUUUUUUUGUUUGUUUGUUCAACCUCAACCUCAUCAUCAUUAUUAUUAUUGUCGAUUUUUUUUCGUUUUUGUUUUCUAUUUCCUAUAACAAUUCUACGGGUACAUUAAAAUUCAAUACAAAUUCAUUUUAUUCGAUUCAAUCGACAAUUUUCAACCAUCAUCAUUAUACAUCAUCAUCAAUAACAUCAACUUCACUAUACAACUAGCAAAAUUUUUAUAUAUAGAAAUUGGAAAAAAACAAGAACAAAAUAGAUCUAUUUCACUGGAAUUCAUGUUUGCAUCAAACUUUGAAAAUAGAUAGAAAACAAAAUGGUAAAAAUCAGAUUUCCUUGGAAUUGAAAACGACAACGACGACAAUAACAACAACAACAAUAAGAAUAAGAACCAAAUAAUAAAAUACAACAGUCAAGCAUCAACAUUGAUAGUUGUUGUUGUUGUUGUUAUUGUUUUGUGAAGAUAAUGUAGCAUUUUUUCAUUGGAAAAAGAGAUUCCAAAAAAAAACAUCAUUCUUUCUCUGAUUUCGUGCCGAAACGAAAACAAAAUUAUUCGGACAUCGGAUUAUAUU